rnacentral:rRNA from 1 species
AUUGAACGCUGGCGGCAGGCCUAACACAUGCAAGUCGAGCGGAUGAAGGGAGCUUGCUCCUGGAUUCAGCGGCGGACGGGUGAGUAAUGCCUAGGAAUCUGCCUGGUAGUGGGGGAUAACGUCCGGAAACGGGCGCUAAUACCGCAUACGUCCUGAGGGAGAAAGUGGGGGAUCUUCGGACCUCACGCUAUCAGAUGAGCCCAGGUCGGAUUAGCUAGUUGGUGGGGUAAAGGCCUACCAAGGCGACGAUCCGUAACUGGUCUGAGAGGAUGAUCAGUCACACUGGAACUGAGACACGGUCCAGACUCCUACGGGAGGCAGCAGUGGGGAAUAUUGGACCAAGGGCGAAAGCCUGAUCCAGCCAUGCCGCGUGUGUGAAGAAGGUCUUCGGAUUGUAAAGCACUUUAAGUUGGGAGGAAGGGCAGUAAGUUAAUACCUUGCUGUUUUGACGUUACCAACAGAAUAAGCACCGGCUAACUUCGUG